GACGAACGCUGGCGGCGUGCCUAAUACAUGCAAGUCGAACGAACUCUGGUAUUGAUUGGUGCUUGCAUCAUGAUUUACAUUUGAGUGAGUGGCGAACUGGUGAGUAACACGUGGGAAACCUGCCCAGAAGCGGGGGAUAACACCUGGAAACAGAUGCUAAUACCGCAUAACAACUUGGACCGCAUGGUCCGAGUUUGAAAGAUGGCUUCGGCUAUCACUUUUGGAUGGUCCCGCGGCGUAUUAGCUAGAUGGUGGGGUAACGGCUCACCAUGGCAAUGAUACGUAGCCGACCUGAGAGGGUAAUCGGCCACAUUGGGACUGAGACACGGCCCAAACUCCUACGGGAGGCAGCAGUAGGGAAUCUUCCACAAUGGACGAAAGUCUGAUGGAGCAACGCCGCGUGAGUGAAGAAGGGUUUCGGCUCGUAAAACUCUGUUGUUAAAGAAGAACAUAUCUGAGAGUAACUGUUCAGGUAUUGACGGUAUUUAACCAGAAAGCCACGGCUAACUACGUGCCAGCAGCCGCGGUAAUACGUAGGUGGCAAGCGUUGUCCGGAUUUAUUGGGCGUAAAGCGAGCGCAGGCGGUUUUUUAAGUCUGAUGUGAAAGCCUUCGGCUCAACCGAAGAAGUGCAUCGGAAACUGGGAAACUUGAGUGCAGAAGAGGACAGUGGAACUCCAUGUGUAGCGGUGAAAUGCGUAGAUAUAUGGAAGAACACCAGUGGCGAAGGCGGCUGUCUGGUCUGUAACUGACGCUGAGGCUCGAAAGUAUGGGUAGCAAACAGGAUUAGAUACCCUGGUAGUCCAUACCGUAAACGAUGAAUGCUAAGUGUUGGAGGGUUUCCGCCCUUCAGUGCUGCAGCUAACGCAUUAAGCAUUCCGCCUGGGGAGUACGGCCGCAAGGCUGAAACUCAAAGGAAUUGACGGGGGCCCGCACAAGCGGUGGAGCAUGUGGUUUAAUUCGAAGCUACGCGAAGAACCUUACCAGGUCUUGACAUACUAUGCAAAUCUAAGAGAUUAGACGUUCCCUUCGGGGACAUGGAUACAGGUGGUGCAUGGUUGUCGUCAGCUCGUGUCGUGAGAUGUUGGGUUAAGUCCCGCAACGAGCGCAACCCUUAUUAUCAGUUGCCAGCAUUAAGUUGGGCACUCUGGUGAGACUGCCGGUGACAAACCGGAGGAAGGUGGGGAUGACGUCAAAUCAUCAUGCCCCUUAUGACCUGGGCUACACACGUGCUACAAUGGAUGGUACUACGAGUUGCGAACUCGCGAGAGUAAGCUAAUCUCUUAAAGCCAUUCUCAGUUCGGAUUGUAGGCUGCAACUCGCCUACAUGAAGUCGGAAUCGCUAGUAAUCGCGGAUCAGCAUGCCGCGGUGAAUACGUUCCCGGGCCUUGUACACACCGCCCGUCACACCAUGAGAGUUUGUAACACCCAAAGUCGGUGGGGUAACCUUUUAGGAACCAGCCGCCUAAGGUGGGACAGAUGAUUAGGGUG
rnacentral:rRNA from 1 species